rnacentral:rRNA from 1 species
AUACAGAGGGUGCAAGCGUUAAUCGGAUUUACUGGGCGUAAAGCGCGCGUAGGCGGCUAAUUAAGUCAAAUGUGAAAUCCCCGAGCUUAACUUGGGAAUUGCAUUCGAUACUGGUUAGCUAGAGUGUGGGAGAGGAUGGUAGAAUUCCAGGUGUAGCGGUGAAAUGCGUAGAGAUCUGGAGGAAUACCGAUGGCGAAGGCAGCCAUCUGGCCUAACACGGACGCUGAGGUGCGAAAGCAUGGGGAGCAAACAGGAUUAGAAACCCGGGUAGUCC